CCUANGGGUGGCAGCAACUAGGAAUCAUGCGCAAUGGACGAAAGUCUGACGCUGCGACACCGCGUGGAGGAUGAAGGCCUUCGGGUCGUAAACUCCUUUUACCUCGCCAUACGGCGGGAAGAAUAAGCACCUGCAAACUACGUGCCAGAAGCCUCGGUAAUACGUAGGGUGCAAGCGUUAUCCAGAUUUAUUGGGCGUAAAGAGUUUCGUAGGCGAUUUGUUAAGUUUUUGGUUAAAGCCCAAAGCUCAACUUUGGACAAGCCAAAAAAACUAACAAAAUGGAGAGUAUCAGAGGGUGAUGGAACACUUAGUGUAGGGGUGAAAUCCGUUGAUAUUAAGUGGAAUACCAAGGGCGAAGGCGAUCACCUGGGAUACUUCUGACGCUGAUGAACGAAAGCUAGGGGAGCAAAGCGGAUUAGAUACCCUUNUANUC
rnacentral:rRNA from 1 species